rnacentral:rRNA from 1 species
UACGGAGGGAGCUAGCGUUGUUCGGAAUUACUGGGCGUAAAGCGCGCGUAGGCGGCUUUGUAAGUUAGAGGUGAAAGCCCGGGGCUCAACUCCGGAACUGCCUUUAAGACUGCAUCGCUUGAAUCCGGGAGAGGUGAGUGGAAUUCCGAGUGUAGAGGUGAAAUUCGUAGAUAUUCGGAAGAACACCAGUGGCGAAGGCGCUCACUGGACCGGUAUUGACGCUGAGGUGCGAAAGCGUGGGGAGCAAACAGG